CACAUGCAAGUCGAGGGGAAACGACAUCGAAAGCUUGCUUUUGAUGGGCGUCGACCGGCGCACGGGUGAGUAACGCGUAUCCAACCUGCCCACCACUUGGGGAUAACCUUGCGAAAGUAAGACUAAUACCCAAUGAUAUCUCUAGAAGACAUCUGAAGGAGAUUAAAGAUUUAUCGGUGAUGGAUGGGGAUGCGUCUGAUUAGCUUGUUGGCGGGGUAACGGCCCACCAAGGCUACGAUCAGUAGGGGUUCUGAGAGGAAGGUCCCCCACAUUGGAACUGAGACACGGUCCAAACUCCUACGGGAGGCAGCAGUGAGGAAUAUUGGUCAAUGGACGAGAGUCUGAACCAGCCAAGUAGCGUGCAGGAUGACGGCCCUAUGGGUUGUAAACUGCUUUUAUAAGGGAAUAAAGUGAGUCUCGUGAGACUUUUUGCAUGUACCUUAUGAAUAAGGACCGGCUAAUUCCGUGCCAGCAGCCGCGGUAAUACGGAAGGUCCGGGCGUUAUCCGGAUUUAUUGGGUUUAAAGGGAGCGUAGGCCGGAGAUUAAGCGUGUUGUGAAAUGUAGAUGCUCAACAUCUGCACUGCAGCGCGAACUGGUUUCCUUGAGUACGCACAAAGUGGGCGGAAUUCGUGGUGUAGCGGUGAAAUGCUUAGAUAUCACGAAGAACUCCGAUUGCGAAGGCAGCUCACUGGAGCGCAACUGACGCUGAAGCUCGAAAGUGCGGGUAUCGAACAGGAUUAGAUACCCUGGUAGUCCGCACGGUAAACGAUGGAUGCCCGCUGUUGGUCUGAAUAGGUCAGCGGCCAAGCGAAAGCAUUAAGCAUCCCACCUGGGGAGUACGCCGGCAACGGUGAAACUCAAAGGAAUUGACGGGGGCCCGCACAAGCGGAGGAACAUGUGGUUUAAUUCG
rnacentral:rRNA from 1 species